GACGAACGCUGGCGGCGUGCUUAACACACGCAAGUCGAACGGACAGACAGAGAGCUUGCUCUCUUGAAGUUAGUGGCGAACGGGUGAGUAACGCGUAAUCAACCUGCCCUUCAGAGGGGGAUAACAACGGGAAACCGUUGCUAAUACCGCGUACGAUUCAUGAACGGCAUCGUUUAUGAAUGAAAGGUGGCCUCUAUGUAUAAGCUAUCGCUGAAGGAGGGGAUUGCGUCUGAUUAGCUAGUUGGAGGGGUAACGGCCCACCAAGGCAAUGAGCAGUAGCCGGUCUGAGAGGAUGAACGGGCACAUUGGGACUGAGACACGGCCCAAACUCCUACGGGAGGCAGCAGUGGGGAAUCUGCCGCAAUGGACGAAAGUCUGACGGAGCAACGCCGCGUGGGUGAUGAAGGUCUUCGGAUUGUAAAGCUCUGUUAAUCGGGACGAAAGAGUUGUGCGUGAAUAAUGCAGAAAAGUGACGGUACCGGAAUAGAAAGCCACGGCUAACUACGUGCCAGCCGCCGCGGUAA
rnacentral:rRNA from 1 species